UUGCUGUGCACUUUGGCCGGUGGGAAGCUCGGCUUGUUGUACUUGGGGUGAUCAUGGUGGAAAUGCGGGAUAUGUUUCAUGUGAGGCAACGUCUUCUUGGGCAUCGGAUGGUACUUGAUCGUGGGGUGCUCGUGGUGAGGCAUCGGGGACGGCUUGUAGACCGGCGCAGCAGGUGGGUUAUAGUAUCCCCCUGACGGCGGCUUGUGCAUCGGCGCAGGUGGUUGGUAGUAUCCCCCUGACGGCGGACUGUGCACCGGCGCAGGUGGUUGGUAGUAUCCCCCCGACGGUGCCUUGUGCACCGGCGCAGGUGGGUUGUAGGUAGGGGGGCUGUAAACUGGGUGUGGGUGGUAGUGAGACUUGGGUGGGAAUUUGUAGUGUGGCAUAUGUAACUUGGGGUGCUUCUUUUUCCAUGCCAGCGGAGGGCAGGGGUAGAAGGUGGCCGACGCGCAGGUGGCCGACGAGAACGACAGCUUCCCGGACGCCGCAACGAACGUGUGCUUUCCCUCGUCCUUGGACUUGAGGAUCAGCUUGGAAGGGUUGAGGGCGUUGUUCUUGUCAGGGCAAGGUGCGUUGGAGGUGUUGUGGAGCUGCGCGAAGCACUCGUGCUUCAGGUCGCCGUUCUCGAGGAGAAGCUCGCUCGGGAGCUUCACCUCGAAGUUUCCGUUGCUGUCGAGCUCGCCCGUGGCUUUGGUCUCGUA
rnacentral:lncRNA from 1 species